AGGGUUCGAUCAUGGCUCAGGACGAACGCUGGCGGCGCGCCUAACACAUGCAAGUCGAACGGAGUUAUUAAGACGGAAGUUUUCGGACGGAAGACUUUUUAACUUAGUGGCGGACGGGUGAGUAACACGUGAGCAACCUGCCUUUCAGAGGGGGAUAACGUUUGGAAACGAACGCUAAUACCGCAUAACAUCAUAUUAGGGCAUCCUGAAAUGAUCAAAGGAGCAAUCCGCUGAGAGAUGGGCUCGCGCCUGAUUAGAUAGUUGGUAGGGUAACGGCCUACCAAGUCGACGAUCAGUAGCCGGACUGAGAGGUUGAUCGGCCACAUUGGGACUGAGACACGGCCCAG
rnacentral:rRNA from 1 species